CAGAGGGAUUUUGCUGAGGUGCUAAUCCUACCUGCGGGUCAGGUCUGUCUUAGGGCACUGUCUUAGGGCAGGGUGGUGAUCGGCCAGAAAAAGGAGAAAUGGAAAGCGGUAAGCAAGCUUGGGUGACAAAAGCCCCGGGCCAGCAGAGAGAAAACUUCCCAGAACUCUGAGGCACCCGGAACUGGACGACUUCCUGGUAUUUAUUGGGUGAAAGGAUGUUCAUCCUGAAGAGAUGCUGAAGAGGAAAGGGUGGGUGAGUCGCUGAAGGAGUCAACAGAGGACUGUGGAGGCCAUGAAGAACUGGAACAGUUAAGUGCGUACUCAGCUUCAGUAUUUCCAUGCCUCAAUCAGGAGUUUCACUGCGCAGCCUGUGGCACAGCUAUGGAAAACACGUGCUCUGUGCUGAGCAACAGAUGAUCAGCCACAGCAUUGCCACCCGUGGGAAAUUCUAAUUGUUUGUCGCAAUUCAAGACAGGAAAUGGAAAAUUCAGAAAACUGUCUAUUUUCAGAAGAAAGCAAAGCAAAAUGUUUGGCUUCCCUAAGCCGCAGUGGCCGUACUGGAAGCCCUCCAGCUGUCCUUGCCUCCCUGCCUGCUGCUCUGGAGCCACUGUGCCAGGGUCCCAGUGGGCUCCCGGCUGCCCUGGCCUUCCUGCCCCACAGCCCCCAGGCCUGUGAGCACAGCGUGGUGCAGCACAGCCCCCCAUGGCGUGGCCCCGCAGGGCAAGGGCCCAAUAUCGGCAGGGCAACGGUCGGCUGCUGGCACUGCCGCGUCCACAUGGGCUAACCUGGGAAACCGCUU